rnacentral:rRNA from 1 species
CACGUAGGGUGCGAGCGUUGUCCGGAAUUAUUGGGCGUAAAGAGCUCGUAGGCGGUGUGUCGCGUCGGCCGUGAAAACCUGCAGCUUAACUGUGGGCGUGCGGUCGAUACGGGCAUCACUGGAGUUCGGCAGGGGAGACUGGAAUUCCUGGUGUAGCGGUGAAAUGCGUAGAUAUCUGGAGGAACACCGGUGGCGAAGGCGGCAUCCUGGACCAAUUCUGACACUGAGGAGCGAAAGCCAGGGGAGCAAACGGG